GAUUUUCUGAAAUUCUCUUAUGGACGUAAGGCCCACUACUAAUUUCAACAGUCUGCUCCUGUGCUUCCAUGGCGACCAAGAGGUCCUGGCCGAGCUCAAGCACGGCUAUGAUGACGGACUGCGGCAGGGGCUUCCUCUUGUUCUCUUCAAUAGAUUGCUGAUCUCGCAAAAAACCAAGACAAAAGAUCCACAGAUUUGCCAAAGACCAAGCGAUGAAAUAGUGCAACUAGAGGAGCCGCAAGGAUUCUUUCAGUUUCAUUUGCAAGCACCAGAAAAGUAACAGAACCUACUUCAUUCAAUAACAAACGACAUCUCUGAACAUCAAGAACAGAAGACUUGGCAGCCAGGGGAUGUUUUCUCAAUCUCUGCCAAACAAGAAUACACGCAGGAUGAGCUUACAAAUUAAACAAGGAGGAAAUGAUACCCACAGCCCUCAGUUAAACAAGAUGAGAAACAGAGGCAAAGGGUAACCUGCCAGUUUGCUUGGCUGAAUUCUCACCAACUGUCCUUCCAUUCUAGCCUAAUCACAAAUAAAGCAAUCAAAAGCAAGUACAAAUAGAAAAGGAUAUUUUUGGUUAGUACUUCAUUCCAAAUUAUUUUCCCAAGAGAAGGCCGACAAGAAUGUUGGAGUUCGGCUUAAGCAGCAUUUUCCAAGACACUGCUGCAGGUUCACACAAACUGAGACUACACCACAAACAGACUUAUUUUCCAGGUCAAUGUGGGUCUGAAAGAAUUCGAAGGGUUAAAUUCUAAAAGAAAGAUCCUGAAGUCACGGCAAGGCAUCAGUAAUAUACAAGCAGUGGGUUCUUCUCUUUACUCUCAGGAACAGGGUACACAUAUCACCAUACAGGUAACAUAGAUGUUGCAGUUUGGCAUACAAAUCGAUCUUCAGAAUACAGAAACAUCACAUGCUCUUCCAGCAUGCAUGCAUCCAUGUCCACAACAUACAGCGUGCAGCAGCAUCAUUUCAUGUACCUAUGAAACAUGAUUAACCUCGCCAUGAUGCAUACAGUAUGAUACAGGAGGCAUCACGGUUCCAGUCCUUCUGUUCAAGCUCAAGGAGCCGGAGUUAUUCAUAUUGAUCAGGGGGACUAUGGAUGAGACAUGGAUCGCAGAGCUACCUGCUUUACAAAUUGUGACAGAAAGCAUUUUAAUUGUGAAUGUGUCAUUCAGAUCCUGGGUACACAUCAACCAAGGAUGAAGAGUAACAUCCGAAAAUUAAUAAAGCCAUUUUUUUCAAAUUUCGUAUUUUUUCAUAGCAAACAUUCCUUAGUUUCUUUAACUACUUGCACAGUUUCGUGAUGGGGUGCCAUUCGUGAAGGCAUGGGCAAAAGAAAUUUUAGUGCUCCAAAAUGCUUUCAAAGAUAGUUGUUUUUUAAAUUACUUCUUUUUUCCACUAUAACACCAAGAAACUUUGCAACCUGGUGAAACACUCAGUAAUGUUUGUCAUAAAAGAAAUUCAGAAAGUUUUGAACUUCUUAUUUUGUUCUGAUCUUACAUUCAUCAAGUGCCUCGGAGCCAAAACUCCAUGCCCACUUUUAAUUGCUGUCUUUUCUUGUAUUUUUCGUAUUAUCUUUUACUACUAUGUUUAAUAGUUUAUGGCAGAGGUUAUGAAGCACACUUAUAUUUACUGCUGAAUUUUUUUAAGUGGUGCAUCAGAGUGACUUUGGCUCCAGCUCCGCCCCUGCCAGUGCUCUCAUGUUCCACUAAUUCUUAGCUGGUCGUCCGAACAUGUUUUUUCAGUUUAUACUUGGUGCCACUGGAAGCAGAUGCUGCUGCGUUACACGUCUGCUAUAUGUUUGCAGCCUAGAGGGAGGGAUGUUCGGGAUGCGCGCGAGCGGCGUCGUGGGUGGUGGGACGGAUGGGCACGGACGCACACCUGUACGAUGACCCGGAGGAGGACGCCAUCCCGGCGCUGCUCGACUCCCGCUUCGAUGCGCACCUGAAAGUGGUGAGAAGAUGUCGAUGAUGCAUACUUGGGACAU